rnacentral:rRNA from 1 species
AGUGAACGCUGGCGGUAGGCCUAACACAUGCAAGUCGAACGGCAGCACAGUAAGAGCUUGCUCUUACGGGUGGCGAGUGGCGGACGGGUGAGGAAUACAUCGGAAUCUACUUUUUCGUGGGGGAUAACGUAGGGAAACUUACGCUAAUACCGCAUACGACCUACGGGUGAAAGCAGGGGAUCUUCGGACCUUGCGCGAUUGAAUGAGCCGAUGUCGGAUUAGCUAGUUGGCGGGGUAAAGGCCCACCAAGGCGACGAUCCGUAGCUGGUCUGAGAGGAUGAUCGGCCACCCUGGAACUGAGACACGGUCCAGACUCCUACGGGGGGCAGCAGUGGGGAAUAUUGGACAAUGGGCGCGAGCCUGAUCCAGCCAUACCGCGUGGGUGAAGAAGGCCUUCGGGUUGUAAAGCCCUUUUGUUGGGAAAGAAAAGCAGCAGGUUAAUACCCCGCUGUUCUGACGGUACCCAAAGAAUAAGCACCGGCUAACUUCGUG